GCAUUGCAAUAAGAAGCGAGGAUGGAUAAUUUACAAACAAUUCACCCCUCAUCCCAUCACCACACCUGUAACAACCAGAAUUCCCCAUAAAUAAUUCUAGCAUUUGUGUCUGAGGUGGGAUUGGACAUUCUGGAACAGGGACAGCUUUCAGCAGCUACUUACACAAGCCACCCCUGAGGGCUCCUCCUGCAUUGAACAGAAGGAUUCUCCUACAGCAAUCCUGGCAAAGUUUGCACCCUAUACAGAACAUUAAAAAAAAAAAAAAAAGCCAACAAAACCUGCUGAGACUUGGGCAUCGCUGGUAACAGAGCCCCCCUGCUGAGGAACUGGGCAGUUUCAGACAUGGAUCUCCCUCCCUGCACCAGCAUCCAUAAUUCCUGCCUUUCACCUGCAGUGCCCUGUCUGCUCUGCUCAGCCCUUUGCCUCCCUGAUGUAUAUUUCUUGUCCUGGCUUUCUAAAAAACCAAAGAAUAACAAAAGAGAAACUCUAGUGCAGGGGGGUGGCCUUAUCCCAGAGGCUGAGCUGCUGGUGCCUGCAGGCAGCAGCCCUUUGGCUCCAGCACUGAGGGGUGAAGGAAAAAAUCUGCUUUCCAGCCCUGCAGGCAGCAUGCUCAUGGGACUGAGGUGGCACUGCCAGAGCUCCGAGAUCUCCGUGUGGAUUUUGGUGAGCUCCCAGCCUGUGGAAGAGAAGCCCCUGGCCCUGCUGUUGGGGAAACUCAGAACACUUUGGGGGCUGUCAAGCAAGCAGCAGCCUCCCACAGCCCACCUCUGGACUGGCCCCACUGCCACAGCUCCUGCUGGUUCAGGGAUGUGGAGCUGCUGGAUCCCUGCUGCCUCAGGACAGAGCCUGGAAGAAUCCAAUCUAGCAAGGAUAAACACCAGGAAAAUGGAGAGAAGCAGAGAGGAGGAGCUCAGGGGGACUACUACUGUUUAACAGGUUGGGGGGAAAGAAGGUUUAAGAGUGAGAGCGUUUAUCCUAAGGCAGAAUUUAGUUUUCCUGCAUAUAGUUUCCUGAAUUCCAACUUCUGUGGCUUUUGUUUUC